rnacentral:rRNA from 1 species
CGGGGGGGGCAAGCGUUGUUCGGAAUUACUGGGCGUAAAGGGCUCGUAGGCGGCCAACUAAGUCAGACGUGAAAUCCCUCGGCUUAACCGGGGAACUGCGUCUGAUACUGGAUGGCUUGAGUUUGGGAGAGGGAUGCGGAAUUCCAGGUGUAGCGGUGAAAUGCGUAGAUAUCUGGAGGAACACCGGUGGCGAAGGCGGCAUCCUGGACCAACACUGACGCUGAGGAGCGAAAGCCAGGGGAGCAAACGGGAUUAGAUACCCCGGUAGUCCUGGCCCUAAACGAUGAAUGCUUGGUGUGACGGGUAUCGAUCCCUGUCGUGCCGAAGCUAACGCAUUAAGCAUUCCGCCUGGGGAGUACGGUCGCAAGGCUG